GUGCCAGCCGCCGCGGUAAGACAGAGGGUGCAAACGUUGUUCGGAAUCACUGGGCGUAAAGCGCGUGUAGGCGGCCGUGUAAGUCGGGCGUGAAAUCCCACAGCUCAACUGUGGAAGUGCACUCGAAACUGCGUGGCUAGAGUCCUGGAGAGGAAGGUGGAAUACUUGGUGUAGAGGUGAAAUUCGUAGAUAUCAAGUGGAACACCGGUGGCGAAGGCGGCCUUCUGGACAGUGACUGACGCUGAGACGCGAAAGCGUGGGGAGCAAACAGGAUUAGAUACCCUCGUAGUCC
rnacentral:rRNA from 1 species